AGGGCUGUCCCAUUGUCAAAUCGUCAAGUCAGUGAGUGAGCCCUUUAUGCCCCCUUACCGUAGGUCAACAUCGAUACGGACUUACGGUAAGGAAAUUACCCACAGUUCAUAGCGUUGUGACGUCAAAUACGGGGGUUGCCCUCGGAACACCAGAAGUGUUAUUAAAAAAAACGAACGCACGGUCGGCAGAUAUGCAAACGUAAUGGAAGGACAGCGAAAAAAGAAGUUUACUUGGACAGAACAACAAACCAUCACCUUCAUCAGACUGAGGAUGGAACAUGAGGCGCAGUUUACUGGGCACAGGAAUGCCUCUAGUCAAGGUUUUGAGACCUGAUAUUACCGCGAACAGGGUCAGGGACCGAGUGUGGUGAGAGCACACCCGGAAACUGGCCCUAUUUUGAGGAGAUGCAUAAGGUGAUGGGGCAGAAGGACUCCAUAAAACCCCUGAACCCCAUCGCCACCGCCGUUGACACGGAUGCUGAAGAGGAGGCGACGGCGCCAGCUGCCUCAUCCAGCUCCUCUGCAGGGCCAUCCACUGCCCCUUCUUCUGGGCCAUCCGCCAGGCCAGACCCACUGCCUGGAUCCUCAAAACAAACCCCAACAAAAAGAAAAAAUGAGGUCCUGAGUAUUUGAAGGAUUAUGGGGAAAGGCAGGAGAAGAGGCAGAGGGAGCUGGACACCAGGGGGGAGGAGAGGGAGAAGAAAAGAGGCUCAGAUGGACACCCUCAUAGGGAUUCUUGGCAAAUUGGUAGAAAAGCACAAAUAGUUAUUUGUGCUUCUCUACCAGCUUGCCAUAUUUGUGUUGUUUGUUUCAUUAUAAUUUCAUUUUUCAGUGACAAUAAUGGAUGCAUUUUAUUUUUGUUUAAAACAAUAUUUCAGUUGUGUUAAUGUGAAAUAAAGA